rnacentral:rRNA from 1 species
AACGAACGCUGGCGGCAGGCUUAACACAUGCAAGUCGAACGCAUCCUUCGGGGUGAGUGGCAGACGGGUGAGUAACGCAUGGGAACGUGCCCUCCAGUUCGGGAUAACCCAGGGAAACUUGGGCUAAUACCGGAUACGUGCGAGAGCAGAAAGAUUUAUCGCUGAAGGAUCGGCCCGCGUCUGAUUAGCUAGUUGGUGGGGUAAUGGCCCACCAAGGCGACGAUCAGUAGCUGGUCUGAGAGGAUGAUCAGCCACAUUGGGACUGAGACACGGCCCAAACUCCUACGGGAGGCAGCAGUGGGGAAUAUUGGACAAUGGGCGCAAGCCUGAUCCAGCCAUGCCGCGUGAGUGAUGAAGGCCUUAGGGUUGUAAAGCUCUUUCGUCCGGGACGAUAAUGACGGUACCGGAAGAAGAAGCCCCGGCUAACUUCGUGCCAGCAGCCGCGGUAA